UACGAAGGGGGCUAGCGUUGCUCGGAAUCACUGGGCGUAAAGCGCACGUAGGCGGAUUGCUAAGUCAGGGGUGAAAUCCUGGAGCUCAACUCCAGAACUGCCUUUGAUACUGGCGACCUUGAGUCCGGGAGAGGUGAGUGGAACUGCGAGUGUAGAGGUGAAAUUCGUAGAUAUUCGCAAGAACACCAGUGGCGAAGGCGGCUCACUGGCCCGAUACUGACGCUGAGGCACGAAAGCGUGGGGAGCGAACAGG
rnacentral:rRNA from 1 species